GGUUCUGUGGUGUAGUGGUUAUCACGUCUUCUAAACACGCAGAAGGUCGCGAGUUCGAACCUCGCCAGAACCU
rnacentral:tRNA from 1 species